GACGAACGCUGGCGGCGUGCUUAACACAUGCAAGUCGAGCGGUAAGGCUCCUUCGGGAGUACACGAGCGGCGAACGGGUGAGUAACACGUGAGUAAUCUGCCCCUCACUUCGGGAUAACCACCGGAAACGGUGGCUAAUACCGAAUACGACCAGUCUUCGCAUGAGGUGCUGGUGGAAAGUCUUUUCGGUGAAGGAUGUGCUCGCGGCCUAUCAGCUUGUUGGUGGGGUAAUGGCCUACCAAGGCUUCGACGGGUAGCCGGCCUGAGAGGGUGACCGGCCACACUGGGACUGAGACACGGCCCAGACUCCUACGGGAGGCAGCAGUGGGGAAUAUUGGACAAUGGGCGAAAGCCUGAUCCAGCAACGCCGCGUGAGGGAUGACGGCCUUCGGGUUGUAAACCUCUUGCAGUACCGACGAAGCGCCCGGUCGGGUGGUGACGGUAGGUACAGAAGAAGGACCGGCCAACUACGUG
rnacentral:rRNA from 1 species